CCCUCCUUUGGGUCCACUUGGUCUUUUAUACUCACAUUGUGUGUAGUGGACAACCUUCACAAUGUGAGUUAAUUGGCUUCAAAGGUGAAGCACAAUGGCUCGAGCCAUCUCGAGCCAAGCUUGAGCCUGUUCAGGGGUGUGCUCAUCUAAUUGAGGCCCUCUGUUAAUACUUCCAAUCAAGGUUUAAAAACCGACGGUUAACCGGCUGACCGGUAAAAUACUGCUAACCGGUGACCGGUUAGUUGGGAUGGGUAAAUGGGUUGAUGGGUCGGGUCUAACCCCUACCCGACCCGGUCACCCGCCUCGUUUUAAAAAAAGGCCAUUAAUUACCUGUUUAUUUUAAAGGCUUUAUUUAAUAAAGCCCAUUACGUUUCAUUUAAUAAAGCCUCAUUUGAAGGCUUUAUUUUAAUAAGUUUAAAUCUUAUAAGUCUCUCCUUAUAAGUUUAAAAACUUCACAUAAGGCUUAGGAUAUUUUGAAUUACAUUAUGGAAUUAAUUACUUAUUUGCAUUACUAUUUUGAAUGACUAUUUUGAAUUACUAUAUUGUUUAUGAUAUUUUUAUUUAUAUAAACAGGGAUAUAAACAUGGAAUAGAUAUAUAAGUAUAUAACAUAAUUUUUGUUUUUAAAAAAAAAAAAUACGAAAAUACCCCUACCGGUUAACCGGAAAACCGGUAAGCCAGAACCGGUUACCGGUCAACCGGUUUUUAAACCUUGCUUCCAAUAUUAGGGGUAAAAAGGUAAUUUGCAGAAUUACACAAAGAACUAAGAUGCUUUGCAUCAGGCGCCUCUUCUCUCAUGGCAAUUGUCUUCAAUUGUGCAUCUUCUGCCUCUGGAGGGUAAUAUUUUCUCAAGUCCGAAAUAUUAAAUGUGGAAGAGAUGUUGAAUUCUGCAGGAAUAUCCACCACAUAAGCAUUAUCGUUUAUCUUCUUUAAGAUUUCACAUGGUCCAAAAUUCUUUGCUUUUAACUUAGAGUAUGAUCCAGCUGGGUGUCUGUCUUUAUGAAGGUGUACCAUUACAAAUUCGCCAACUUCAAAGGAUUUAAAUCUUUUGGACCUAUUUGCUGCUUCUUUGUAUUUUUCAUUGGCUGCCUCAAGAGAUUUCUGAACUUGUUCAUGAAUUUUCUUGCUGUUUGACACGAUAUCUUCCACCACAGCAUUGUUUGAUGGAAUUGAAUUAAUGUCCACCACUUGUUUGGGUAAUUGGCCAUAAGCUGCCAAGAAUGGGGAACACCCUGUAGAUUUAUUUGGCAUACUGUUGAAGGCAAACUCAGCUUGGGGAAGACACUGAUCCCACUGUUUAGGGUUGUUACCGACCAAGACUCUAAGAAGGUUUCCCAAUGAUCUGUUUACUACUUCUGUCUGUCCAUCUGUCUGAGGGUGGCAGGUGGAACUGAAUUUCAGAUUAGUAUCAAAUCUGGCCCAUAAAAUUCUCCAAAAAUGUGAUAGGAACUUAGAGUCCCUGUCUGAAACUAUGGACUGUGGCACACCAUGGAGUCUUACCACCUCUUUAAAAAAUAGUUUUGCAAUAUAAGAGGCAUCACUGGGUUUUUUACAAGGUAAGAAGUGGACCAUUUUGGAGAAUCUGUCCACUACCACGAAUAUUGAAUCAAAUCCUGCCUUAGUUUUAGGUAAUCCAAGCACGAAAUCCAUGGAAAGAUCUGUCCAAGGUUGAGUUGGAACUGGUAGAGGCAUAUAUAAUCCAGUAUUCUGUCUGACUCCUUUUGCUUCUUGGCAAGUUUGACACCUUUUAAUAAAUUUUUCUGUGUCCCUCUUUAAAGAUGGCCAAUAAAAUUUAGAUUCUAGCUGAAAAAUCACUGUCUCUCCCAAAGUGUCCUGCUAAACCCCCAACAUGUGUCUCCUGCAUUAGUUGUAAUCUGAGUGAAGUUUUUGGGAUGCAUAACCUGUUCUGUUUGAAUAGAAAUCCCUGCUCAAUUUUAAACUCUGCUGUCUGUUUUCCAGAUUUACAUUCUUUCCAAAUUUCAGAAAAAUCAUCAUCACUGUCAUAUGAAUUUCUAAUAGCAUCCAAAGCUGUUACUGUGGCUCUCAUGAUGGUGAGCACAGACCUUCUUCUGCUUAAGGCAUCAGCUACUGUGUUGUUCUUGCCUGCUUGGUGUUUAAUUGUGAAAUCAAAUUUUUGUAAGUACGAAAUCCACCUUGCGUGCAUUCUGUUUGUGUUUGCCGAUUUAUUGAUGUGUUUUAGUGCUAGAUGAUCAGUAGACACUACAAAUUCCCUCCCACUCAGAUAUGGUUCCCAUACCUUACAAGCUCUCACUAAGGCAUACAACUCCUGCUCGUAAGUUGUCCAAUUUCUUCUUCCCAUUGAUAAUUUCUCACUGUGAAAUGCUAUGGGGUGCCCUCCUUGGCUCAGCACUGCCCCCACUCCCAUAAUGCUUGCAUCACAUUCUAAUUCAAACACUUUUUCAAAGUCUGGAAGUGCAAGUACAGGUGCUGAUUUUAGUUUUUCUUUGAGUACUUUAAAGGCUAAUUCAGCUUCCUUUGUCCAUAGGAACUAUCCUUUCUUCAAGCAAUCAAAAAUUGGGCCCGCAAUAGUGCUAAAGUUCUUUAUGAACCUCCUAUAGAAUGAGGCCAGACCUAGGAAGCUUCUUACUUCAGUGAUGUUUGUUGGUGCAGGCCAAUUAUCCACUGCUUCAGUUUUCUGUGGAUCUACUUGUAACCCUUGCCUCCCAACUAUGAAUCCAAGAAAAGGUACUUCAUGAACUAUGAAUUCACAUUUUUUUAAAUUUAGCCUCAGUUUGUUGUUAUCCAGUAUAACAAGUACUUUUCUGAUAUCCUCCAAGUGAUCUUCCUUUGUGUGGCUGAAUAUAAGUAUAUCAUCAAAAUAUACUACUACACAUAUUCUUAGGAGGGGUUUAAGGAUCUCUGUCAUCAUCCUCAUGAAUGUUGAUGGAACAUUGGACAAACCAAAUGGCAUUACGAGCCACUCAUAAAGACCUUGCCUUGUUUUAAAGGUUGUCUUCCACUCAUCCCCACCUCUGAUUCUGAUUUGGUGAUACCCACUUUUGAGAUUCAGUUUGGUGAAAAAUUGUGCACCAUUCAGCUGAUCAAGAAGCUCUUCUAGCCUUGGUAUGGGGAAGCGAUAUUUAAUAGUUAUCUUGUUAAUGGCUCUGCUGUCCACACAAAAUCUCCAAUCACCAUUUUUCUUUGGUACUAACAAGGCAGGUACAGCACACGGGCUUAUGCUAGGUCUAAUGAAUUCUUCUUUCAGUAGCUCUUCCACUUGACUCUGUAAAAUAUCGGUUUCUUUAGGACUCAAUCUGUAGUGAGGUAGAUUGGGUAUAGAAGCUCCUGGUACGAAGUCAAUUCUGUGGUCUAGGUCCCUGAUUGGUGGAAGUUCUGAUGCUUUCUCACGUGUUAUUGCUGGAAAUUCAUUUAGAAUUUUUUUUACACGAUGUGGAACUGAUCCAGAAUUUUCCUCAGUUCUCUCCUUAGAAAUUAGUGCAAAUCCUUGUAAUUCAGUCCUUAAUUCUUUUUCAAAGAAUUUAUGAGACUGGAUUAGCAAAUUGGCCUUUUCCUGGGCUGUUUCUGAAUUUGGAGGAAGAGGUAGUAAGGCUACUCUUUUAUCAUUUACUUUGAUAAUAUACUGAUUCAGACGCCCUCUAUGAUUUGCAUCUACAUCAAAGUUCAAACUGCCACGGUCUCCCUAGAAGUACAUGGGUUGCAUCCAUGUCAACUAUGUCACAAUCUACCACCCCUUUAUAAUUUUUUCCAAUUGAUAAUGGUUCUUUGCAGUAAUAUUUUACCUCUACUUGGUCCUCACUUUUGAUCCAGCCCACUGUAUACGGGUGGGGGUGGUUUUCAAAUUUCAGUCCCAACUUCUUUGCUGCUUUUUCUGCGAUGAGGUUGUCAGUGCUUCCAUUAUCGAUAAUUAUCUUGCAAACUUUCCCAAGGAUGAUUCCCUUUGUCUUAAACAGAUUUGACCUCUGAGUUAGGUCAGCAACAGGAUGAACACUGCAUGUCUUAUGUAUUAGACAUGACAGGCUUGGUCCCUCAUCUGGCUAAUCCUCCUCUUCAGGUUCAGAAUCUGAUUNNNNNNNNNNNNNNNNNNNNNNNNNNNNNNNNNNNNNNNNNNNNNNNNNNNNNNNNNNNNNNNNNNNNNNNNNNNNNNNNNNNNNNNNNNNNNNNNNNNNUUCAUUUGGUCCCCUAUUUUCAAAUAUUCUGACUUGUCCCCUCUUUGGACAUGUAUUUGAUUUAUGUCCAAGCUCUUGACAUCUAUAGCAUUUAAUUCUUGCCAUUUGUUGCAAUUUCUUUUCCUUGUGGGGUAGGCAAGAUUCCUUUCUCUUUAUCAGAUGCUGUUUUGCUAGAGGAACUCCCAAAAUUGGAAUUAUAAGAACUAUAAAAUUUGCUAGAAUGUUGCUCUAGCCUUUCAGCCAAAUUAAUUGCACUCGAUAGGCUGUACUGAGGGUUGACAGCCAUUUUAUACUGCAAUUUCUCUUUCAGUCCACUCACAAAUCUAGUGGCUAAUUGCUCUUCAGACUCUUCAAGUUGUGUUCUGGCCGAUAAUCUGUGGAAUUCAUUCGCGUAUUCAGAUACUGAUCUGUUGCCUUGUUUACCACUGUUGGUACUGAAUGAAAAGUGUGCUCUCAUAAUCUGUUGGCAAAAACCUUUGUCUCAUCAGUUUCCUCAUUUUAUCCCAUGUUCUCACUUUUUUUUUUUGGUGUUUUGCCCUUAGAUAUACUGUUUGAUCCCACCAGCUUUGUGCUGUCCCUUUUAAUCUUAGAGCCACUAACUUCACUUUCCUUGACUCGGAGGUGUUCAUAUAAUCAAAAUAUUUUUCCACCUCCGAAAUCCAAUCCAAAAAUGUUUCAAUAUGCAUUUGGCCAUUGAAUUGGGGAAGAUCUGUCUUCAUGCGAUAGUCAUUGUAGUCAUCCCCAUAAUUAUUUUCAUAUUGAUCCACCGCACCACCUCUGUCUUGUUGAUAAUUUCUGUUAUUUCUCUGAAAAUAUCUCUGAUCGUUUCUCCUCCUAUACUGCCUAAAUUCAGGCUGAAACAGGUCUGGAUCAGCUUCAUCUGACGAAUCUGAAUCUGGUUGUUGCUGCUGAUUCCGAUUUGGUUGCUGCUGGCGAUCGGGUAGUUCUUGCCUUGGCGGUAAUGGAGGUUGUUGAAUAGCUGGUCUGCGCAGUUCAUUUACUGCCACUGUUAGGUCUGUCAAUGCUCGCACCAGUCGAUCAAACUCCUGCCUGGAAACAUUCUGUUCUGCCAUAUCCGUCCAGAGAAGAAGAAAAAAUACCGCAAAUUCGUCCAGAGAAGAAGCCGCAAAUCCGUCCAGGAAUGAGUCGCAAAUCCUAGUCUGAUACCACUUAAUAUAGAACAGGACUGUUCUAUGGAGAGAUGAAGAAAGAAGAUUGGAAACUUCUUGUAAGAAGGGAUGUAGAUCUGGAAUUUUCAAGGAUUCCACCAAGGAUCAAUUCUGAUCGGGAAUAGCAAAUAGGAAAAAAAAACGGAAAUAGGAAGAUAGAAAGGUAGGGAAAAAACGGGAGAGAGAGAAAUAAUACCUUCUCAAUAAUAAAAUAAUAACUAGCCCCUCCUUUGGGUCCACUUGGUCUUUUAUACUCACAUUGUGUGUAGUGGACAACCUUUACAAUGUGAGUUAAUUGGCUUCAAAGGUGAAGCACAAUGGCUCGAGCCAUCUCGAGCCAAGCUUGAGCCUGUUCAGGGGUGUGCUCAUCUAAUUGAGGCCCUCUGUUAAUACUUCCAAUAUUAGGGGUAAAAAGGUAAUUUGCAGAAUUACACAAAGAACUAAGAUGCUCUGCAUCA
rnacentral:lncRNA from 1 species